rnacentral:misc_RNA from 1 species
AAGUCGUAACAAGGUCUCCGUUGGUGAACCAGCGGAGGGAUCAUUACCGAGUUUACAACUCCCAAACCCAUGUGAAUAUACCUAUUGUUGCUUCGGCGGGAUUGCCCCGGGCGCCUCGUGUGCCCCGGAUCAGGCGCCCGCCUAGGAAACUCAACUCUUGUUUUAUUUUGGAAUCUUCUGAGUAGUUUUUACAAAUAAAUAAAAACUUUCAACAACGGAUCUCUUGGUUCUG